CGCUGUUACCUCUCCCACUGGAAGGCUAUUCCAGGUAUCUACUACCCUUUCCAUAUCGCUGUUACCGCUCCCACUGGAAGGCUAUUCCAGGUAUCUCCUACCCUUUCCAUAUCGCUGUUACCGCUCCCACUGGAAGGCUAUUCCAGGUAUCUACUACCCUUUCUAUAUCGCUGUUACCGCUCCCACUGGAAGGCUAUUCCAGGUAUCUACUACCCUUUCCAUAUCGCUGUUACCGCUCCCACUGGGAGGCUAUUCCAGGUAUCUACUACCCUUUCUAUAUCGCUGUUACCGCUCCCACUGGAAGGCUAUUCCAGGUAUCUACUACCCUUUCUAUAUCGCUG